CGCGUUUUUCGCCAAGGCGGAGCUCGACCGCCAUCACAAGAAGUGAGAGCGUUCAUCGACGCGCAGCGCGGACGCUACGGGGUCGAGCCGAUCUGCAGGGCGUUGCAGGUUGCCCCA
rfam:Rhizobacter sp. Root29 contig_21, whole genome shotgun sequence.